UCUCCAUUGCGGUCAUCUGGACUUCCAGGCAAACAGGACACACAGGGGACAAUGAGCAGGAUCAUCUUCUCAAGUUCUGUGCCAGAAAAACCCCAUUGAGAUUUUGCCUGCAAUUACAUUAAAUAUAUGAUCACUUUGAUCCUGCCAGGAUCGUCAGUAUAAUCUUGAGAAGAAAUUAUAAUAGCAGGCAUCUUUUCUAAUCAUUUAAUAUCCUAUUAAGAUGGGAGAUAUAUAUUUUGAA